rnacentral:lncRNA from 1 species
GCGGGAGACGAGAUCGACUGCCUCAGGAGGCAUCCGUUUGUGGAAAAUCUGGGAAUUCUCACGUCUUCAGAGAUAGAUAAAUGGAUGGAUGGAUGGAUGGAUGGAUGAGAAGAGAGAGAGAGAGAGAGAAGAGAGAGAGGAGAGAGAGAGGUGCACACCUUGUGCCGACGGAGUGGGUCUUUGAUCGUNNNNNNNNNNNNNNNNNNNNAAGUAAGUAAGUAAGUAGGUAGUAGGUAGUAGGUAGUAGGAGUAGGAGUAGAGAGAGAGAGAGAGAGAGAGAGAGAGAGAGAGAGGAGAGAGAGAGGUUGCACACCUUGUGCCACGGAUGGGCUUUGAUCUGGGGGAACUUGUACUCUGUAUAAUUAGGGUUCAUGCAUUUGAUCUCCUCUCUGGUGGGGGUGCCCAGCACCUGGAAGGAGCACACAUUCC